rnacentral:rRNA from 1 species
UACGUAGGGUGCGAGCGUUGUCCGGAAUUAUUGGGCGUAAAGAGCUCGUAGGCGGUGUGUCACGUCGGCCGUGAAAACCUGCAGCUUAACUGUGGGCGUGCGGUCGAUACGGGCAGACUGGAGUACUGCAGGGGAGACUGGAAUUCCUGGUGUAGCGGUGGAAUGCGCAGAUAUCAGGAGGAACACCGGUGGCGAAGGCGGGUCUCUGGGCAGUAACUGACGCUGGAGGAGCGAAAGCGUGGGGGAGCGAACAGG